rnacentral:sRNA from 1 species
AUACACCCUAAGUCAACCCCAAGGUAAA